rnacentral:rRNA from 1 species
UACAGAGGGUGCAAGCGUUGUUCGGAAUUACUGGGCGUAAAGCGCGUGUAGGCGGCGGCGUAAGUCGGGUGUGAAAUCCCUCAGCUCAACUGAGGGAGUGCACUCGAUACUGUGUCGCUUGAAUGUCGGAGGGGAUGGCGGAAUUCCCGGUGUAGAGGUGAAAUUCGUAGAUAUCGGGAGGAACACCUGUGGCGAAGGCGGCCAUCUGGACGACAAUUGACGCUGAGACGCGAAAGCGUGGGUAGCAAACAGG